GAUGAAGAACGUAGCGAAAUGCGAUAAGUAAUGCGAAUUGCAGAAUUUCCGUGAGUCAUCGAAUCUUUGAACGCACAUUGCGCCCACUGGUAUUCCGGUGGGCAUGCCUGUUCGAGCGUCAUUUCAACCCUCAAGCACAGCUUGGUGUUGGGACUCGCGUUAAUUCGCGUUCCCCAAAUUGAUUGGCGGUCACGUCGAGCUUCCAUAGCGUAGUAGUAAAACCCUCGUUACUGGUAAUCGUCGCGGCCACGCCGUUAAACCCCAACUUCUGAAUGUUGACCUCGGAUCAGGUAGGAAUACCCGCUGAACUUAAGCAUAUCAAUAAGCGGAGGA
rnacentral:misc_RNA from 1 species